CUGGGGCUGGGGCUCAGUGGUAGAGUGCUUGCCUCGCAUGCAAGGCACUGGGUUCGAUCCUCAGUACCAUA
rnacentral:tRNA from 1 species